GGGAGGCUGAAUUUUCCUAAGAGUACGAAUCAAGCGGCUCCUCUACCUGUGAAACGGGGAAUUCGCCUGGUGUGCAUUGGGAUCUAAAGGGAUCUCUGGGAUGUUGUGGCUGGAGAGAGACACAUGUAGAUGGUGUUGGACACUGGAUUUGUCCAUCAGAGCUCAAGGAGUCAGAAGUCACUGUGGAAGGACCAUGGGGGAUAAUUUAAGGAGCUCCAAGACCCCAUCUCACGGCCGGUGACAAGGAGCAACUCCCAGGGGAAGCGAGGGGGCGGCGGAUUCCAGCGAACGUCGAGCGGGAACGAGGCAAGUGUCGCGAGCGGUGAGGACGGGCCUUGUCUUUCUGCAGAGCCAUACCCUUCACCGUGUUCUCCGUGCGCCAGUGUACCCACAUGUGCAAGAGGAAUGGCUGAAUCUAACUACAUGAGCCCAGCUGAGCAGCCCAGAUGAGGGACUUUGGACGCCCCGUGUUCCAGACGGCAUGCCAAAAGGGGGAGGGUCUCGCCACUCACCGGGCACCUGAUAGGCGCAAGAAAUAAACUUCCAUCUCAAGAUUGAGAUUUCAGUCUUGUCACUGCCACAUGGCCUGGCCCGGCCCCGCGAAUAGUCAGAGCGUCAGAAUUAACGGAGCAAUUGCUAUUCUUGAGCUCUUUAAUGUGAGGAAGGAAGAAGCUGUCUCUGGAGCCACGCGGGGCAGCUGAUUGACGCUUUCCCUGACUGUCAUCAUCCAGCACAGAUGGCACUUCCUGUUUGGUAACACCUCACGUGGGCUUCUUCAUCCCCCACUGACUCUGCCAGUCACCAUCCUACACAGUCAAAUGUGCACAGUAUUAGAAGUUUGCCAAGAGCACAUCCUUGUGUCUGCCAAGGAGUGUCUGUUAGAGGAAGAGUAUUCUAGCAGACGAUGUUCAGAGGAGAAAUGGACCACCCCAGGAGGCAGCAAACCCCUGGUCUCUGAGUUUCCUCAUUUGAAAACGGGAGGAAAGAUACUGACCCACCUUGAAGAAUUUCCGUGAGGACCCACUAAGAAGACGGGCUGAAAACAUUUCGAAAACCCUACAAAGACCAAAGUUGUCAUUUCAAGAAGGGAUUCAUUCAGCGGCAGAUAAGUCGCCCAGUUUCGAAUCUUGCUUCUACCUGUCUCUAGCUGCGUGUCCAAGGACGAAACGGAGCAUUUUUUUUUUUUUUGAGAAUUUGUUUUCCAUCUUUAAAAUGGGAGCAAAAGGAAUAUCCACCUCUUAGCAUUUCUGCGAAGAUGGUGUGAAAUUGUGAGCAAGACCAUUCAUUCGCUGAGGAUUCCCUGUUUCUAUCAGCAAUCAUGUAACCAUGCUGUGUUUGGACCAUGCGUGGACAAGGAUGCCUGUAACAUAAAUGGAUUUGUCUAGGCAGCGGGACUCUGACUUCAGAUAGGAGUGUGUGCCGUGGGCUAGGCUGCCGGCAGGUUCAGUCCAAGAGGCAGCCUGCCACAUGAGGAAUGUUUCUGCGUCAUUUCCAAAACAGCUGUGGAAGAUGUCGCUCCGGGCCACCAGUGCGAAAGACCAUGAGAAAACGGCCCGAGCCCUUGAGGAAAGGCGCUCUUUCAUGGUGCACUGGGGUUUGUGAUGUCAGAGCACGAGAGUUGUGUGGUUCACUUUUUGCUUUGGCUUUCCAGAGACCUCGGGCGAAAUUAUAUGCUCAGUUGAAAUAACUAUCGCCAUUAAUUAAGUUUCUUUGGGUUACAAGUGGCAGAAACCCAGCCCAGACACCUUCAAAUAAAAAGAUAAUUUAUCAGGUUAA